GACGAACGCUGGCGGCGUGCUUUACACAUGCAAGUCGAACGAUGAUGGGGUGCUUGCAUUCCUGAUUAGUGGCGAACGGGUGAGUAACACGUGAGUAACCUGCCCCAGACUCUGGGAUAACUCCGGGAAACCGGGGCUAAUACUGGAUAUCACUUGCUCCUGCAUGGGGGUUUGUUGAAAGGGUUUCUGGUCUGGGAUGGGCUCGCGGCCUAUCAGCUUGUUGGUGGGGUGAUGGCCUACCAAGGCGAUGACGGGUAGCCGGCCUGAGAGGGUGACCGGCCACACUGGGACUGAGACACGGCCCAGACUCCUACGGGAGGCAGCAGUGGGGAAUAUUGCACAAUGGGCGAAAGCCUGAUGCAGCGACGCCGCGUGAGGGAUGACGGCCUUCGGGUUGUAAACCUCUUUCAGUAGGGAAGAAGCCUUUCGGGGUGACGGUA
rnacentral:rRNA from 1 species